GAGAAGAAUGCUGCCUUUUUCAUAAUCUCUGACCACCUUGCCUUCCAUGUCAGCUCAAAUGUCGCAGCAAACCUUUCACUCAGUGCAACUUCCUCUUCAGAAUGCUUCUUUGAGAUGACAGUGGCGUGUGCUCC
rnacentral:lncRNA from 1 species